AAGAAAUAUAUUAUUAUGAUGAUAAAAAAAAUUAUUCAUAUUAGAGCAUCUUCAAUGGUUAAGAACCAAUUGGUUCUUAAUCUUGAAUCUUAGCCUUAUUUUAAAUUAAAAUUUCACUGUUUUGGAGCUAAGAAAAGUUAGAGAAGAUCUUAACAAAUUACUACUCAGAACAUCAUUAUUGGUUGUUUUUUAGAUUAGUUCUUAAGAUUUUUUUUUGUCAUUGAUUACUAAAAACAUCUCAUUUUAACUCUUAUAUAAGAGACAUGUUAUCAUUUCGUCUCUUAUAUAAGAGUUAAAAUGAGAUGUUCUUAUCCUAAGAACUAAUCUAAGAGACAACCAAUAAUGAUGCUCUCAAAUGAUUAAGAAUCAAUGAGUUCUUAAGAAGAAAAAAAAUCAAAUUGUUGCAAAACAUUGUUUUGGUUUUGUUUUUUCUUUCUCUCAUUCACAUAUCGACACAUGUGCCCUUCUUACCUUAAGAAAAACAUCUUAGUUAAGAUACAUAUCUUAGUUGGUUUGAUUAAUUAUAAUUGCUUUUAAUGCUAAGAUGUUUGCUAAGAUUUGGCUAAGAUAUACCGCUGGGGAUGCUCUUAACUCUCUACAUAUAGUUCUUCAGACAAUGCUACUGAGCUAAUGAUGGCGUAAUAACUAUUUUGAGCGGAGUAAACAUGCUCAAGUACACGGGACGAGACCCUUAAUCUUUCCCAACCAUCCUGUGAUGUAAUACUCAUUUAAAUUACCCCAAGUUUAGUAGAGUAACAUUGAGACUUAGCUUCCACACUGACAUUAUCUCUCCCUUCCAAAUCAGAGAACUCAUGUAGAAAGUUCUAUAGAAUUUUCGAAUAUUAUGAAUAGUUAUAUUUAUAUUAUAUAUGUUAUACCUUACGAAACAUUGUAUUCUUCUAGGGUCAUCUUUACUUUUAUGUUUUCUGAUUCAAUGAUUUGUGAAAUAUAUUCGCGAAUACUUAUGACUAAAGUUAACAAAUGACUUAAAUUUGAAAAUAGAAUUUUUAACUGCCUUUUUAUUUGUUAUUUUUGUUUAUAUUUUGCUUAGACUUUGCUUAUUCUAUGCUUAGUUUUGUCAAAUUUUUAUAAACCCUACAUAGUUAUCCUAUUAACAUCUUUUACAACUAUAGAACAUAAAUCGAAGAGAUUAGAUAUAGGGAUCCAUAGUUAUGUCUUUUACAAAUAAUUGUGUCUAUUUAAACGUUCAUGUCUUUUUAAUUCUAUAUAUAGAUGUUUAUGUCUUUUUACCUCUAUUUAAACGUUCAUGUCUAUAACAAACAAUUGUGUCUAUGUGAUGAAAAGAUAAGAAGAAAAGACACAAUUCUAAAUGACCAUAUGCAACUUUCUAAAAAGACAUAACCGUAAAAAGUAUUUUUCAAAUUAUUUAAAGUUAAAAACUUAUGUUACUAAUAGUUAAGAUAAAAAUACGCAAACUAUCUUCCUGACGAGAUGACCAUUAAAUCUAUUGAGAUCUCACAAGCGUCACGUCUUAUGAACGAGGGAAAGUUUCUAUCCCGUCUUAAAACCCCUUUUGUUGUGUCUCUCUACGGCCACAAGGUACCACAUAGAGAAGGACGAGAAAAAUCCAUUACUCGGGAAGAUGUAUUACAACACGUUACAAGAGUACUGUUCAGGAAGAAACCUAGCGAAACACAUUGAAAGAAACGGAGGAAAAUUACCGAAAGAUGAUGUGAGGAGUUUCGCUAAUGAGAUAUUGCUUGGUCUCAAGUAUAUUCAUGAAGAGAAGAUCAUUCAUUGUGACAUCAAACCAAAGAAUAUCUCACUUGUGUAUGAGAAUAACCGAUUUGGUAGUGUUGGUGGGUUUUCUGCUAAGAUCGCUGGUUUUGGAAAAGAGAUAAAGAAAUGGUCAGUUGAGUAUGGUGAAGGAUUAGGUCACAUGAGAGGUACGACAUGACUUUUGUCGCCAGAGGUUAUGAUGGGCAUGGUUUUGGAUUAUGGUGCUGAUGUGUGGGCUUUUGGCUGUACCGUGCUUGAGAUGUUGACAGGAGAACGAGUUUGGAGUGAGUUUGGUAAGCUUGAUUGGGAAGGUUGGAAAACUCUCAUUGGUGAAAGUGGUAUUUUUCCCAAUAUCCCUGAUUAUUUGUCUGAUAAGGCAAAGGAUUUCUCACAAAGUGUUUGGAGAGAGACCCUGCUAAGAGGUGGUGUGUUGAUUGUUUGCUCAAACAUGGGUUCCUUAAAUGGAUUGACGAAGAGGAGGAAGAAGAUGACUUUUAUGAUGAAAUAGGAGAUGUGGAGGUAGAAUAUGAAGCAAAUCUAUAAGCUGAAGCAACAUUUGAGGAAGAAGAAGCCAUUGAUCGAGAUGAAGAAUAUCCUAAAGAAGAUCCGGAAGAUAUCCAUGUUAGUUUUCACACUUUUUUGUAUCUUGUUAUUUUUCUUUUUUAUGACAAUCUGAAAAUUAAGUCUCAAAAAAGAAAAAAAAAUAGCAAACAUCCAGCUUCCAAUUAGUAAUAUGGUACAUCGCAGGUUAAAUAUUUUA
rnacentral:sRNA from 1 species